CGACGGCCGUAAUUGUUUGUUUAAUUAUCUAAUGGUCCAAAAUUAUUUUGGUGUAUUUCUUAAGUCGUAUCGCAACUUUUUCUGAAGACUUUUCAUCUGAAAAAACACACACCUUCUAGAGUUGUCCUUGAUGUACCUUUUCAUGAUCUAUAUAUUGAACUUUUUACAGCAAAAAUCUAUUAAAAAUAUACUUGGUUAUUCAUCUUCUAUUUCAUUUUCUGUAUUUGUUUUUGAUCUCUGUCAAGAGCCUUUCAUUCCAUUUGUUUAAGAUCAGUUAAUACAAAACCACUAUUGCAUAAACUAUCGCAAGCGACCUUUGUUGUUGUCGCCAGGACGUUAGGAUUCUAAAAUCAGAUUGCAAGUCUCAUUUUAAAAGGUCUCAUUUUGAUCUCCGUGUUGUCUCCUCCACGUCUCCAUCAUUUGGAUCCAUUUCGUUGGAUUUUGAUGGCACGGCUGCUUCUUCCGGUAGUUGUGUCCGGUGACGACAACAACGGUUGUUCUUCCUCAACCAAAAAAAAGCCAAUAGAUGAAGAGUAGAUGGGAGAGAGCGAUGGUGAAGUCUGUAUUAGCAUUAAACAUAAACAAACGUUUUGGGUGAAAUGAGAUGACUGGAAUGAAACAAAGGCUAAUGGUUUCACGUGGGGCAAUGGGUUUUUGGUUCCAAGAGGAUUUGUAUAACUCAAUGAUUUACAAUGGUGAAAAUACUCAGAAAAUGUUUAUUACUCAUUAACCAACAAAUUCACGCUUCGGGUUA